AUUGAACGCUGGCGGCAGGCCUAACACAUGCAAGUCGAGCGGAUGAAGGGAGCUUGCUCUCUGAUUCAGCGGCGGACGGGUGAGUAAUGCCUAGGAAUCUGCCUGAUAGUGGGGGACAACGUUUCGAAAGGAACGCUAAUACCGCAUACGUCCUACGGGAGAAAGCAGGGGACCUUCGGGCCUUGCGCUAUCAGAUGAGCCUAGGUCGGAUUAGCUAGUUGGUGAGGUAAUGGCUCACCAAGGCGACGAUCCGUAACUGGUCUGAGAGGAUGAUCAGUCACACUGGAACUGAGACACGGUCCAGACUCCUACGGGAGGCAGCAGUGGGGAAUAUUGGACAAUGGGCGAAAGCCUGAUCCAGCCAUGCCGCGUGUGUGAAGAAGGUCUUCGGAUUGUAAAGCACUUUAAGUUGGGAGGAAGGGCAUUAACCUAAUACGUUAGUGUUUUGACGUUACCGACAGAAUAAGCACCGGCUAACUUCGUGCC
rnacentral:rRNA from 1 species